rnacentral:rRNA from 1 species
GACAGAGGAUGCAAGCGUUAUUCGGAAUUACUGGGCGUAAAGCGCACGUAGGCGGCUUUGUAAGUAAGAGGUGAAAGCCCAGAGCUCAACUCUGGAAUUGCCUUUUAGACUGCAUCGCUUGAAUCAUGGAGAGGUCAGUGGAAUUCCGAGUGUAGGAGGUGAAAUUCGUAGAUAUUCGGAAGAAACACCAGUGGCGAAGGCGGCUGACUGGACAUGUAUUGACGCUGAGGUGCGAAAGCGUGGGGAGCAAACAGG